GAUGAACGCUGGCGGCGUGCCUAAUACAUGCAAGUCGAGCGAACAGACGAGGAGCUUGCUCCUCUGACGUUAGCGGCGGACGGGUGAGUAACACGUGGAUAACCUACCUAUAAGACUGGGAUAACUUCGGGAAACCGGAGCUAAUACCGGAUAAUAUAUUGAACCGCAUGGUUCAAUAGUGAAAGACGGUUUUGCUGUCACUUAUAGAUGGAUCCGCGCCGCAUUAGCUAGUUGGUAAGGUAACGGCUUACCAAGGCAACGAUGCGUAGCCGACCUGAGAGGGUGAUCGGCCACACUGGAGCUGGGCCACGGUCCAGACUCCUACGGGAGGCAGCAGUAGGGAAUCUUCCGCAAUGGGCGAAAGCCUGACGGAGCAACGCCGCGUGAGUGAUGACGGUCUUCGGAUCGUAAAACUCUGUUAUUAGGGAAGAACAAAUGUGUAAGUAACUAUGCACGUCUUGACGGUACCUAAUCAGAAAGCCACGGCUAACUACGUG
rnacentral:rRNA from 1 species